UACAGAGGUCCCGAGCGUUGUUCGGAUUCAUUGGGCGUAAAGGGUGCGUAGGUGGCGCUGUAAGUGGGGUGUGAAAUCCCGGGACUUAACUCCGGAACUGCAUUCCAUACUGCGGUGCUUGAGGACUGGAGAGGAGACUGGAAUUUACGGUGUAGCAGUGAAAUGCGUAGAGAUCGUAAGGAAGACCAGUGGCGAAGGCGGGUCUCUGGACAGUUCCUGACACUGAGGCACGAAGGCCAGGGGAGCAAACGGG
rnacentral:rRNA from 1 species